AAACUCAAAACCAAAAAAAAAUGGAAAAAAAAA
rnacentral:sRNA from 1 species